rnacentral:rRNA from 1 species
GAUGAACGCUGGCGGCGUGCCUAAUACAUGCAAGUCGAACGAAACUUCUUUAUCACCGAGUGCUUGCACUCACCGAUAAAGAGUUGAGUGGCGAACGGGUGAGUAACACGUGGGCAACCUGCCCAAAAGAGGGGGAUAACACUUGGAAACAGGUGCUAAUACCGCAUAACCAUAGUUACCGCAUGGUAACUAUGUAAAAGGUGGCUAUACUACCGCUUUUGGAUGGGCCCGCGGCGCAUUAGCUAGUUGGUAGGGUAAAGGCUUACCAAGGCAAUGAUGCGUAGCCGAAUUGAGAGGUUGAUCGGCCACAUUGGGACUGAGACACGGCCCAAACUCCUACGGGAGGCAGCAGUAGGGAAUCUUCCGCAAUGGGCGAAAGCCUGAUGGAGCAACGCCGCGUGGGUGAAGAAGGUCUUCGGAUCGUAAAGCCCUGUUGUUAGAGAAGAAAGUGCGUGAGAGUAACUGUUCACGUUUCGACGGUAUCUAACCAGAAAGCCACGGCUAACUACGUG